rnacentral:misc_RNA from 1 species
UUUCCGUAGGUGAACCUGCGGAAGGAUCAUUAAAAAAUGUGGUACCAUUUGUUGGUACUAAUUAAUCAUCCUACCCUUUGUGAAUUUGUUUGUAACGAAUUUUUUUAAAUGGGUCUUUCCCUAAGUUGGAUUGUAGUAAAAAUACAAAAAGACUUAGGGGAAUGACUUUUUUAAAAGACUUUUUUUUUAAAUUAAAACUUUUUGUAUUCAUUUGUCUAAAAUUUAUUUUUAUAAUAUAAAAACAACUUUUGACAAUGGAUCUCUUGGUUCUCGCAACGGUGAAGAACGCAGCAAAAUGCGAUAAGUAGUGUGAAUUGCAGAAUACGUGAAUCAUCGAAUCUUCGAACGCAUAUUGCACUUUUUUAGUUUACUAAAAAAGUAUGUCUGUUUGAGUAUCAGUAAAAUAUUCUCACAAAAACAAUUUGUUUUUUGUGGUUAUGAGUGUUUUACAACGAUAAACAAGUUGUUUCACUUUAAAUUCUUUUUAAUUGAAUUUUACCAAUUCAUAAAUUAAAAUUGGAUAAAAUUUUCCUUUAACGAGGAAUAACCUAAACAAUUUUAAAUUUUAUGGAUUAAUAAACAUUCAUCAAAGGAAUCUAUACAACAAAUAACUUGAUCUCAAAUCAGAUAAGAGUACCCGCUGAACUUAAGCAUAUCAAUAAGCGGAGGAAAAGAAACUAACAAGGAUUCCCUUAGUAACGGCGAGUGAAGCGGGAAGAGCUCAAAUUUGAAAUCUUCAAGGUUUGACCUUGACGAAUUGUAGUUUAUAGAAGUGUUUUCUGUUGGAGUUUUGGUAAAAGUUCUUUGGAAUAGGACAUCAUAGAGGGUGAGAAUCCCGUAUUUGACCAUGACUUUCCAGCUGUGUGAUACACUUUCAAAGAGUCGGAUUGUUUGGGAAUGCAGUCCAAAAUGGGUGGUAAAUUUCAUCUAAAGCUAAAUAUUGGCGAGAGACCGAUAGCGAACAAGUACCGUGAGGGAAAGAUGAAAAGAACUUUGAAAAGAGAGUUAAACAGUACGUGAAAUUGUCAAAAGGGAAGCGUUUAACACCAGUGUUGUUUUCUCGAAAAUCAAUUUAAUGAGUUCUUGUUUUUAAGUUAUCGUGACUUUAUCAGCGCAUUUCUUAUUUUACUUGACUCAUUGAAUGCACUUUUCGUUUAACAAGUCAACAUCAAUUUCUUUGGUGGUAAAAAGUUUAAAGGAAGGUGGCUUGGACUUCGGUUCAAGUGUUUAUAGCCUUUUUUCUAUGCCAUCGGAGAGAUUGAGGUCUGCAGCGUAGAUCCUUCGGGGUUAGAUACCUUUGUGCUAAGUUAUAGUUUUUUAUAGACAACUUGUUGACUAUAAUUAACCCUGUAAUUUACUCGCUUAGGCUAUUU